AUCCAGCUGAUAAGUCCAAAAUAGGACAAAACGCGCGUCAAGCUGGAU
rnacentral:hammerhead_ribozyme from 1 species